CAGUCGAGCGAAUGGAUUAAGAGCUUGCUCUUAUGAAGUUAGCGGCGGACGGGUGAGUAACACGUGGGUAACCUGCCCAUAAGACUGGGAUAACUCCGGGAAACCGGGGCUAAUACCGGAUAACAUUUUGAACCGCAUGGUUCGAAAUUGAAAGGCGGCUUCGGCUGUCACUUAUGGAUGGACCCGCGUCGCAUUAGCUAGUUGGUGAGGUAACGGCUCACCAAGGCAACGAUGCGUAGCCGACCUGAGAGGGUGAUCGGCCACACUGGGACUGAGACACGGCCCAGACUCCUACGGGAGGCAGCAGUAGGGAAUCUUCCGCAAUGGACGAAAGUCUGACGGAGCAACGCCGCGUGAGUGAUGAAGGCUUUCGGGUCGUAAAACUCUGUUGUUAGGGAAGAACAAGUGCUAGUUGAAUAAGCUGGCACCUUGACGGUACCUAACCAGAAAGCCACGGCUAACUACGUGCCAGCAGCCGCGGUAAUACGUAGGUGGCAAGCGUUAUCCGGAAUUAUUGGGCGUAAAGCGCGCGCAGGUGGUUUCUUAAGUCUGAUGUGAAAGCCCACGGCUCAACCGUGGAGGGUCAUUGGAAACUGGGAGACUUGAGUGCAGAAGAGGAAAGUGGAAUUCCAUGUGUAGCGGUGAAAUGCGUAGAGAUAUGGAGGAACACCAGUGGCGAAGGCGACUUUCUGGUCUGUAACUGACACUGAGGCGCGAAAGCGU
rnacentral:rRNA from 2 species